UGUGUAUGUAAUAAUUUCUAACACUGCUUUUUUGAAUGAUAUCACAUAGUAGUAGAACUGCAAAAGUGUUACUCUCCACUUUCUGGAGGACCGAGUUUUAAAAUCAGUUGGAAUUAGAUUAUGAUAGCUAAGGAGAUGGAGAAAAUUCUGGCAUUUGAUUGCAAAUAUCCGGGAGUCAAAAAGAGAACACACAGAUUACAUCUUCAAACUAAGGUCAACCAUGGCAGCCGUGACAGAGCGGGAGUAGCAUCAUCCAUGUAUAUGGGUGGUACAGAAUCUGAUUCCACCAACAUGCGCUUCUAACCCCUAGCUCUGCACAAGGUGAAGUGCCCUGCAAAAAAAUACCCCAAAGGGGGGAUUUUGGGUACACAAGCAUGAGGGAGCGGACACACCUUGAAGUUAUGGAGCACAACAAGAUUGUGGGACAGAAACCAGCAAGAGGCAUUGAAAGGACUCGUGCAGCACCAACACAUCUUCGGCAAGAGGACAGUUGGUGGUUAAGAAGCCCUACACCACUUUCGUCAGAGUCUUAUCCAGCUGGCCGUUCACUGCAGACAGGACAAGCCCAUCGCCAUAAGCACAAAGAGUCUUAGCUUCCCCAGCUCACCAUGCCGAACACAAUUGCCAGUCUACCGAAGCCGGAUAAAGGACUAUGGCUGUGUUUACACUGGCAGCCCAAUUCUGAUAAUUUUUUACCUUGCCUGACGCUUUAAGCACUGCAAUUAUAAAUCAAGACACACAAAUUACUAAAGAGGGAGCCAGAGAUCAAUAUAGCCUAACCAGAAGAAAAAAACCUGUCUUCAUAUCUCA